rnacentral:rRNA from 1 species
UACGAAGGGGGCUAGCGUUGCUCGGAAUCACUGGGCGUAAAGGGUGCGUAGGCGGGUCUUAAGUCAGGGGUGAAAUCCUGGAGCUCAACUCCAGAACUGCCUUUGAUACUGAGGAUCUUGAGCUCGGGAGAGGUGAGUGGAACUGCGAGUGUAGAGGUGAAAUUCGUAGAUAUUCGCAAGAACACCAGUGGCGAAGGCGGCUCACUGGCCCGAUACUGACGCUGAGGCACGAAAGCGUGGGGAGCAAACAGG